rnacentral:rRNA from 1 species
GACGAACGCUGACGGCGUGCUUAACACAUGCAAGUCGAAUGGAGUGGCGAACGGGUGAGUAACACGUGAGUAACCUGCCCUUUUCUUUGGGAUAAGCCUUGGAAACUGGGUCUAAUCCUGUCUGGAUUGGGAUGGGCUCGCGGCUUAUCAGCUUGUUGGUGGGGUGAUGGCUUACCAAGGCUUUGACGGGUCGCCGGCCUGGUAGGGUGGGCGGUCACGCUGGGACUGAGAUACGGCACAGAUUCCUACGGGAGGCAGCAGUGUGGGAGAUUGCACAAUGGACGAAAGGCGGAUGCAGCGACGUCGUGUGGGGGAUGAGGGCCUUCGGGUUGUAAACUCCUUUCGCCCGCGGAAUGGUAGUGGGUAAAGAAGCGCCGGCUAACGACGUGCCAGCAGCCGCGGUAAUAC